rnacentral:tRNA from 1 species
UGCUGCCCGGGGUGGCCGGGGUGGAGGCGGCCGUGCCGGUGGCGCGGCGGAUCGUGUACGCGAUGCGGGACCCGUUCGACCUGGACGGGCGGGAG